GCCAUGAUUGCCUAGCAGGAAAAGGAGCAGAGCCCAGAAGCAGGGCCUGGUAUGCAGCCUGCCUAACAAGGGAGAAUUUAUAGGCUCUGUGGACGGAAAGAUCUGGGAGUCCAUAUCUAUCACGCACUAGCUUGCUGAGACAUUAGUAAAGUCAGUUUUCUGAACUACAUUUCUGUCAUCUGUAAAUUGAGAGGAAUUUCUUCUACCCCACGAGGCUUCUUGGAUAGUUAGUGACAGUGUGUGUAGAGCAGGUGCCAUCCAGCCGGCAUUUGGUGUCCAGACCACUCCUCUUCCCCCUUGAUUUUCUGCCUAAAUUUGCAUUUUGUUCUUAAGAUUUUCACUCCCCUUAAUUCUGCUCUUCCCUCUGAUUUCUGCCUUACUGUAUAUCCCAUGGAGUCACCAGGAUCAAAGUGGGUAACCGUCAUGUAUGCAUGUAUGUGUGUGUACAUAUACACAUUGCUGGGGUUGGAGUGUGGUGUGUGGGUAAGUGUGAGUUGGAAUCACUGACUAAAACUCUCCACACCAGGCUGUGUUCCUGCUCAUUGCUGGAGGCACUGUCAGGGGCCCUGUCCUCAACCCCGGGUCUGACACUUGCAGAUCAGGCAGGACAUUCUGGAGGAAUCAUGCCCUUGGAAGGAUCCCUGAGGAGUGACUGUUGUUAGAUUAAAAAACAGUGGCAAAGAGCAAUACAGAGAGUUGCCAAAAUUCACACCGCUGGUCCAGGUUUGAAGCAAGCAAUCUGUACCUGCAGUCCUUGUCUGUAACCAUGGCACCCUGGCUUCUCACACAUCUCAUCGUGGAGUUCCACCAUGUGUCAGGCAUGGCACUGAGC
rnacentral:lncRNA from 10 species